rnacentral:lncRNA from 1 species
CAGAAUGGGCAACUGAGGUUGAGAGAAAGGAAAUAACUUGUCCCAGGCCAGCAGCUGAGUCACGACCAAGGCACUUCGUUCUUCAUCUAGUGCGGCCUGUGCAGAGUUACUCUGUCACCCAAGGUGGAGUGUAGUGGUGCAAUCUUGGCUCACUGCAGCCUCGACCCGCCAGGCUCAAGCAAUCCUCCCACCUCAGUAGCUGGGACUACAGGUGCAUGCCACUGCUCCCAGCCAAAAUGCCUUCCCAUGAGCUUGCCACAUAACCAUGGGUGGCUCACUGGACUUUCAUCUGGGCAAAGAGAAGGGUGUGCUGACACUACUCAUGGCUCCUUCAUCUGGGACCUACCCAAAUCCCGUGGCUUUGCUCACAAUCAUCUGAUCCUGUUGUGCCCAAGAUGCCUGCUCCCAUGCCUGGAUACCUGCUGCAGCUGCUCCAAGCCAGGACCCUGCCAAUCUGUCAUUUUAGAUCUUCAGCUCUGGGUUGGUCUUCCAGGUGCCUCUGCCUCCCAAGGAAACCCAAGGAACUCCGCCAGAAAGGGAAUGCCUAAAAGAGCAGCAGUGGGGACUGUAGGGGUCCUCCUGCCUGCCCCUUUGUUAUCCAGAGUGGGGCCCUGACUUGCCUGAAGUCACACAGGGACUCCGGUAUUCCAAUCCUCGGCCUUAAGAUCGCUGCUAUCCGGUUACUUCUAUCUAAAAGCCCUAGAGAAGUUUCGGGAGACACUCAAAGGGCCCUUGUCUGGUUUCCAGGCUGACCAACUCUAAUGGAGAAAAAGCUCACUCACUAAGCAUACAUCAAAUGCCAGGCGUAUAGAAUCCUUCAGUGGAGGGAUCAUUCUCCCCAUUUUACAGAGGAAUAAAGUGAGGCUCAGAGUGAAUGAAAGACUU